rfam:Murine hepatitis virus strain JHM, complete genome
GGGUUCGGGGUACAAGUGUAAAUGCCCGUCUUGUACCCUGUGCCAGUGGCUUGGACACUGAUGUUCAAUUAAGGGCAUUUG